GUUGGAUAACUCUCAUUUUUAUUUUUACUUUUAUUUUAUUUUAUUUUCAAAAGGAUAACUCUUAUUACAGGAGAAGAUAAAAAAAGGAGAUAAUGCAGACAAAAUUUUCAACUGUCAUGAACCACCGUGUGCUAAAGUGGCGCCAUGAAAAUUUGUCCCAGUGUCUACCUUGUGAACUGUGAAGACAAUAAAAUUUGCAAAAUUACUCAAGUUAAUCAUUAUUUUGGGGCUACUAAACAAUCCAUUGUUCGAUGUCUUGUGAUUGUGCGUGGAAGUUCAUAUUAUAUCAGCUGUAGUUCCUCUGGUGAGAAAUCUACAAAUCUCAAAACUACCAUGACUUAGUUUUGGAGAACUGUUGUUCAGUCAAAACUUUCGACAAACGGUAGAUGAUGACUGAAGUUUACACUUCAUAAACGAUAGGUUGUUCUCCUUCAAGCUCAGAUAUAACAAUUAAUUUGUCUGUCAUUCCAAGUGAGAGGGGUUUUGACUUGGGAAUCGGAUUAAUAACCUUUUUGUUAUCUUUGACAUAGCCUAUAGCAACCUCUCGCCGCAAAAAUGCCCUUUCAGAAAGUUCAAAGAAUGAAGGAGUCUCUCCCUCCUUCAUAUAGAGGCUAAUAUCCUUAACAUAAAUUUCAUCACCCUCUGCAUUCAGAAUGUCUUUCCACACCUCAUUCAGUUCACUGUUCUCUGCCACUUGAGCUGUGACCAGGCUCAUUAUUUCCUCUGCUGCAAUAUAAGUCAGCGAUGGCUUGAUUCUUGUAAUCUGUUUGCCUAAUUUUGAGUCAACAAUCUCUGCAACUAGAUUUUGUACCUGCACUCCAAGUUUAUUGCAGAUGUUUUCAGCAAGAAGAAGACAGAAUACGGAUUGCUUAUCUGCUCUGGAUGAAUCUCCAAGAAGCCAUUCUCUAUCUGUUAAUACAGCGAUUGACAAGGGAAUGUCUUCACCUUUCUUGUAAGAAUUUUCAAUGUUGAUAAUGGUUUCCUUUAAGGCAUCAUAAUCCAUGGGAUUUCCAAUCCUAUGAGAAACUUUUACAUUUUUGAGUUUGCCUUGACCAGCACUGUGGCUUGCCCUUUUCCUGUCAGCUAAUGGUACAUCUGAUAAAAUUUCCAAUAUGCUUCCUGGUCCAAGAUAAUUAUCAUAUUCUUCAAUCAUUUCUACAACAUCUGGGCGCCAUCCAAGUAAAAGUAUACACUCUUUUGGUCCAAGAGAUAAAUCUGAUGCCUUUGACCCUGAUUUUUUGGGACGUUUUACAAUAUUUUCUAGUCGUGUUUUUCUCAAUUCUAUGGCGUAAUUUAUAUCUUCGUUAUCAUCUUCAACUUUCAGAUUUUGCAAAGAAGUUCCCUCUUUCAAAAUACUAGAACAUACGAUUUCAGGUGUCCCUCGAUAAACAGGUCCAAUGAACAAAAUUUUAUCACUUUUCUGCAGGAUUUCAUCAUCAUUUGGGUGGAAAUAUAUCUUUUCGUUCCGGUAAAGACCACAAACAACUACCCCUUGAAAUCCAUGUCUCAGUUGCCUAUACUUAAUUCCUGUCAUAUCAGGGAAACUGCGAAGAUUAAAUACAUUUUUUCGAUAAUUAAGCAAAUGUCUGUAGAUUUUUAUCAGCCCCUUUUGCCGAGAGCACUGAACAAAUAAUUUGGAUGCAACAUUUUCCACUGGCUCUACUUUCACUCCAGAAAUUGACUUUAAGAGCUCACAUGUAUUGGAGUUUGAGAUCUCAACAAUGGUAGGGACAGAUUCCAUCUUUGUAAUAGGUUGAAGAGCUAGCACAGAUAGAAAUGCAUUGGUAUCAACUUCAUACCGACUCCCCUUUGUUGUCGGCAAUAUAAUUAUGGCACGUGCCUUAUUGGCUGCAGCUCUUUCAAAUGAUUUUGUUAGGCUAAGGCUGCAACUCUUAGUGAGGACAUCAACGUGGUUAAGAUCUUUGGCACAAUUGUCAGCUAUCUUGUCUAUCUGCUUCCUUGGAAGAUCAGACAUAAGAAGAAUUCUCUGCCUCCUAGCUGUAGCAGUACCUAAGCGAACAGCAAACUCAUGAUACUUAUUUAGCUGCUUUAGUAUGAAAUUCAGUUUACUGUUUGCUCCACAAAUAAUGAUAUGAUCUGCCUCAAGUACUUGCAUUUGUGCGCCUUCCCUGAGCCUUUGCAUGUUAGUCCUGAACUGCUCUGUCAUUGUACUCAAUAACCGAGUGUAGAAUAGUAUGCCCCAGAUGGCAAGAAGAAAGCCAAUAACACGUUCAAUGCGUGUUUUUUGCUUUAGAUGAGAAGAUGAUGAACAUAGACAUGCCCAAGCUUCCCAAAAGCAGUCCUCCAGAGAAUGUGCACUUCCUCUAAGCUUGAAAAAUAGUAAACCACCAAUGACAACAAAGGAGAAGCAAGCCCCAAGGAGCACUACAAAGAACGCUGCCACAUUUCUUUCAAGUUGGAUGUUAAACAAAUAGAGUAAACGUGCUAAGCUCCACCGAAUAUCUUGAAAGGAAGGGAAUGACACAUCCAGCCCAAAAGGUAUGGAUUUAUUCAAGGAAUUAGAUAUACAAGCAAAAGAUGAGCUUGUAACUCUAAAAGUCAAAUCCAAAGAGGGCAAUGAAUCUUGAACCAUCUUUAUCAAUGGAUUUACAAAAUUCGGCUGCAUUAAUCUGAAUAUGCAAUAGGAUGAAAUAGAUCCAAUCAUGAGUUUAGCUUCAUAAUCCUGGGAACUACCAUUUUUCCUCAUUCUAAACAACCUGAGAUUCGAAUCAUUUGAAUUAUCCAAGUGAGCAGCACAAUUCAUCUUAUCCCCCAACCUCGGAGAACUGGCUUUCCAAUUCCCACCAAAGUGUAUUCUGAAAUUAUGUGCAUGUAAAGCAGAAGACUUGAUCCACCACAAUUGGCUUGGCAUUGAUUUCCUGUUGAACUAUUACAUCAGCAUGAAACUUAACAGCUGCCAUUGUUAUAUAAAAACAAGCACUGACAAAAUAACUCAACAUAAUACUUCCCUUCUAUUACAUUCUACACUAUGUAUAAAUAUGACUGACAGUAAUAAUAUUUAAGUUAUUCCCAUAUGCAAAAACAGAAUAUAAUAUAUCAAUUUACUACGUGGAACGGUUGAAUUCAUGAUUUCUUGAAAAAAUUAUAAACACAAAGAAGGAUAAGAAGCACGAACACAGAGCUCACCUAGUAGUCUAUGUGUCAUAUUAUGAUUAACAUUUAUGACUUACAAACGAUUGCACAGCGCUUAUUAUGAAAAAGUUAUUCCAUAAUGAAAUUGUUUUCAGAAACGAUUCAAGUGCUGCUCAGAAAACUAUGAUUCUUAGUGGCAAUAGCACCAUUUCAGAGGAGGAAAUGCCCAGUUUUCAAAAAAAAAAAAUGAAUAGUAAUUCAAAGUCCAUGCAACUUCAUAAAUAGUUGAUGCAUAGAAUUUAUUCGAGUAAAUGCUUUGCACUAACAAUGAUAGUCAA
rnacentral:misc_RNA from 1 species